GAUGAACGCUGGCGGCACGCUUAACACAUGCAAGUCGAACGGGAAGUGGUGUUUCCAGUGGCGAACGGGUGAGUAACGCGUAAGAACCUGCCCUUGGGAGGGGAACAACAACUGGAAACGGUUGCUAAUACCCCGUAGGCUGAGGAGCAAAAGGAGAAAUCCGCCCAAGGAGGGGCUCGCGUCUGAUUAGCUAGUUGGUGAGGUAAUAGCUUACCAAGGCGAUGAUCAGUAGCUGGUCCGAGAGGAUGAUCAGCCACACUGGGACUGAGACACGGCCCAGACUCCUGCGGGAGGCAGCAGUGGGGAAUUUUCCGCAGUGGGCGACAGCCUGACGGAGCAAUGCCGCGUGGAGGUGGAAGGCCUGCGGGUCGUCAACUUCUUUUCUCGGAGAAGAAACAAUGACGGUAUCUGAGGAAUAAGCAGCGGCUAACUCUGUG
rnacentral:rRNA from 1 species